AACCACCAUUAUUAUUACCAAAGCUUAAGCAAACAAUCUAAAAACAAACAAAAAACAAAAGCUUCUAAAUCCGAGUUGAUGUAUUAAUACUAUACAUUUUAAUCCAUUACUAAUUUUAAGAGAUCUCAGUCUCUUACCUAACCAAUAUGAAAAGCACAUCCGAAAUUACAAAACUUAUUAGAAAAUCAGUAAAAGAGAGUUGCAAACAUUAUUGCAAACAUUUUGGAUAGUGGUGUGACACUUUUUAAACAUUUGGCGUGUAGUCAUGAGUACUACAUUUGGUGGAAUCUAAUAGUAUUAGUUGAAAUGUCAAAACUCAAUUAGUUUCCCCCUAAAGAGACACCGUCAACAUUACUACUUACCUAUAAGUAACUAAUCAAUGGAAGUUAAAAUCGUUUUCAAAUUACAUUAAUUUCAAAUUAAGAAAAAUGAUAUCUACGUCCAGAGUUAGGGGUGUUUUUUUUUUGCCCAAAACCAGAGUUAAGCAUUAUUUCGUUAAAUAUUGUGGCAUAUCAAGGCAUGGUAAUCGCUUGCUUGUACGCUAGUGAUUUUGCUAAAAGUGCAUAUUUCAUUUGGUAAUUAGGAUUUAACGGAUAAAAUAAUUAGUUAGGUUCAUAGUUAUCUACUUCGUGGUCUAAUGGUUUAUGUAAAUUCGAUAAUCCAUCACCACAUAUGAUCAUGUUUAGACAAAAACAAAAAAAAUAAUAACUAACAACUGGACAUUAUCAUUAAGACCUGUAGGAGUGGGGACUAUAUCUAGAAUCAACAAAGACUUUAAUAUUAAGAAAUUUCCUUAAUUGAAUUCCAAAAUAAAUAAUAAUAGUGUCAAAAAGGCUAAGCAGAGCAUGUGAUAAUCAGGUCACGUUAACAUGAAUAGACUGUUCAGACAUCAUAAUCUUACUUUUACUUUCUGUUUGUGGUAUAACAAGAGAGUAGUAUAAUGAAAGAUGCAUUCGACUUUAAUUAGAUAUCUAUCAAUUUAGUUUAUAAAUUAAAUUUUGUAACAUGUAAAGUAGUGUUUCUUACUUAAACGUUAGAUAAUUAUUCCAAUGAUGUGUUGUCAUCUAUAAUAACUAUGAUUAGCUCCAAGCAUUAAGCGUUAUGUAUGGGGUCCAUGGAAUCCCAUGAGCUUCUCUUACCAAAACCUACUCUACUAUACAAACACCAUCUACUAUGUUAUAAGGAUCAUAAGUAAUCAUACAAACCCACUCCUAUAAUAUAAGAUCCUUACCGAAUUACCCAAGGUAUUAAAAUAAACCAGUAAUUAUCCAUGUUUGGUGGGCUUUGGGUACACAAAUCACAUUAGCACUUGCAUGACUAAAAACGAGAUACAGACAGCAUGACGUGGCUGGAGAUCAUUGGUUGGAAUAAUAAAAAGAGUGGCAGAAUGAAGUGGUUGCAGGGUCGUGGAUGCUACAUGAACCAUCAUGUUGCUGUGCUCUCUUCUCAUUUCUGACCCUUCUCCGUCGUCAACUCGUCAUGGCUUCCGAGAAAGAGGCUGCUCUAGCCGUCACUCAUUCCGAUUCUCCGACCAUUUUUGACAAGAUAAUCAGCAGAGAAAUUCCACACCACGUGGUUUAUGAGGAUGACAAGGUCUUAGCAUUUAGGGACAUAAGGCCCCAGGGACCCAUUCACAUCCUUGUCAUACCAAAAGUGAAGGAUGGCUUAACUGGCCUCUCUAAGGCUGAGGAGAGGCACAUCGACAUCUUGGGCCGCCUUCUCUACGUUGCCAAGAUAGUAGCAAAACAAGAAGGCCUAGAUGACGGUUUCAGAAUUGUGAUCAAUGAUGGUCCACAAGGAUGUAUGCAUUAAUAUAUAGCUGUACAUCUUCAAUAACCAUAUUCACACAUCUAACAAAGGGACAUCUUUGUUGAUGUUUUGCAGGUCAAGCGGUGUAUCACAUUCAUGUUCAUGUUAUUGGAGGACGCCAAAUGAACUGGCCUCCUGGAUAGAAAGAUCUCAUCGAUCUACUAGUGAAUGUUGUCCUGGUUAUAAGAGGAACCGUCAGAGUUUGCUAUUGUCUUCUGUCUUUAUAAAAUAAAAAGUUUGGGACAUAAGAGCAUGAUUAAUGGGAUUCUUAGCGGAAUAUAAAAAACAGCCUCUUAAUUUUUUUUAGUUAAAAAUUAAAAGUUAAGAGACGGUUUCUUAUAUUCCGCUAAGAACCCACUCUAAGAACCCUUUAUUAAUCAUGCUGUAACAUCGUUAUGCCUUUUUCUAAAGACAUUUUUAAAGAA